rnacentral:snRNA from 1 species
AGCUCUCCUUUGCCAAUCAGGCUUAGAUCAAGUGUAGUAUCUGUUCUUCUCAGUUUGACCGCUGGGACGUCGACACGCUCGACAUUACUUGGUUAAACCUAUUUUUGGAAAACUGCGGGCAGCCUGACCGCUGAGCACUGCUCAUGUCGCUACCCGCACUGUGUCGCCGGUAUACUUGCACUGCCUCCGGCUGACGCGAAUACUG